GACGAACGCUGGCGGCGUGCUUAACACAUGCAAGUCGAACGGAAAGGCCCUGCUUUUGUGGGGUGCUCGAGUGGCGAACGGGUGAGUAACACGUGAGUAACCUGCCCUUGACUUUGGGAUAACUUCAGGAAACUGGGGCUAAUACCGGAUAGGAGCUCCUGCUGCAUGGUGGGGGUUGGAAAGUUUCGGCGGUUGGGGAUGGACUCGCGGCUUAUCAGCUUGUUGGUGGGGUAGUGGCUUACCAAGGCUUUGACGGGUAGCCGGCCUGAGAGGGUGACCGGCCACAUUGGGAAUGAGAGACGGCCCAGACGCCUACGGGAGGCAGCAGUGGGGAAUAUGGCACAAUGGGCGGAAGCCUGAUGCAGCAACGCCGCGUGCGGGAGGACGGCCUUCGGGUUGUAAACCGCUUUCGCCUGUGACGAAGCGUGAGUGACGGUAAUGGGUAAAGAAGCACCGGCUAACUACGU
rnacentral:rRNA from 1 species